CCCCCCCACUCAAGCCUUUUUUCUUUGAAGAAGCUUGGAUUACUUUGGAGAUGUAGCUGUUGUAGCUGCCCUUCAGAAAUUCAUAGGCAGUAUGGUUGUUCCUGAACCAGACGUAAUAAUAAUAAAACCGUCAGUUUGGAAAGAUUGUACUUGCCUUAACCCCACCCAUAUUUUUUUCUU
rnacentral:misc_RNA from 1 species